rnacentral:rRNA from 1 species
GAUGAACGCUGGCGGCGUGCCUAACACAUGCAAGUCGAGCGAAGCAUUUUAAAGGAAGUUUUCGGAUGGAAUUUGAAAUGACUGAGCGGCGGACGGGUGAGUAACGCGUGGGUAACCUGCCUCAUACAGGGGGAUAACAGUUAGAAAUGACUGCUAAUACCGCAUAAGCACACAGUACCGCAUGGUACGGUGUGAAAAACUCCGGUGGUAUGAGAUGGACCCGCGUCUGAUUAGCUGGUUGGCGGGGUAACGGCCCACCAAGGCGACGAUCAGUAGCCGACCUGAGAGGGUGACCGGCCACAUUGGGACUGAGACACGGCCCAAACUCCUACGGGAGGCAGCAGUGGGGAAUAUUGCACAAUGGGGGAAACCCUGAUGCAGCAACGCCGCGUGAGUGAAGAAGUAUUUCGGUAUGUAAAGCUCUAUCAGCAGGGAAGAA